GGAUUCAUGCCCUUCGAUUUAUAUAACUCUCAGUUAAAACUGAAACCCAUACACACGUACACUAGAAAAAUGUGUCAAGAAGGAUCGUUACCUAGUAUUCCGGAAAGAAUAUGCGGUAUCUCGUAUGCCAUUUAUUGUAUUGUUGUUGGAUCUGUUUUUGUGCUAAUUUGUGUGAUGAGAACACUUAGUUUUCAAGAAGACGAGGAACAAAUCUUGCUUAUAGCAAAUUGCAUUGCCAUUAUACUGGCGAUCUCAUAUAUAGUGGCGGGAAUAUUAUUAUUACUUGGAAUCAAGAAAAAAAAUAAGUUGCUUUUCGCAGUGGGAAAGGCAUUGAGCUACAUUUGGCCAAUAUAUUAUGUUUGGCUUAUUUUUCCAUUAAUUGUCCAUAUUAUUAGCGCAUGCAGACUUUGUCCGUUAAGGGAUAAGUUAUUUCCCGAACAGUAAGAUAUGAAAUAUUUCCAUUUUCAGCCUUUAUAAGCUGUUAAAAAAUGCACGUGGUAUCGCAUUUAACCUUAAGAGGAUGGCAUUGCGUUUAAGAUGAUCUAUUUGGACAGUCCACUUCGAGUUCUUGAACUUUUUAUUGAGAAGCUAACUUAAAUGGAGUUGUCCGGAAUAAUGGAGUAGUUCUCGUCCGGAUCGGGAUUAAACGGAUCGCUAUCUCAUCUGCUCAAUGAUCUAAUAACUGCACAAUAAAUGGCUUGAUUACAUAA
rnacentral:sRNA from 1 species